rnacentral:rRNA from 1 species
CCUACGGGAGGCAGCAGUGAGGAAUAUUGGUCAAUGGGCGCGAGCCUGAACCAGCCAAGUCGCGUGAGGGAGGACGGCCCUGAGGAUUGUAAACUUCUUUUAUAAAGGAAUAAAGUCAGGCACGUGUCCCUUUUUGUAUGUACUUUAUGAAUAAGGAUCGGCUAACUCCGUGCCAGCAGCCGCGGUAAUACGGAGGAUCCGAGCGUUAUCCGGAUUUAUUGGGUUUAAAGGGAGCGUAGAUGGGUUGUUAAGUCAGUUGUGAAAGUUUGCGGCUCAACCGUGAAAUUGCAAUUGAUACUGGCAGUCUUGAGUACAGGAGAGGUAGGCGGAAUGCGUGGUGUAGCGGUGAAAUGCUUAGAGAUCACGAAGAACCCCGAUUGCGAAGGCAGCUUACUA